rnacentral:rRNA from 1 species
AAUAUUGGUCAAUGGAGGCAACUCUGAACCAGCCACGUCGCGUGAAGGAUGACGGCCCUACGGGUUGUAAACUUCUUUUAUACAGGAAUAAAGUGAGUACCGUGUGACUUUUUGCAUGUACUGUAGGAAUAAGGAUCGGCUAACUCUGUGCUAGUAGCCGCGGUAAUACUGAGGAGCCAAGCGUUAUCCGGAUUUAUUGGGUUUAAAGGGUACGCAGGCGGAAGAUUAAGUCGGCGGUGAAAUUUUACAGCUCAACUGUAAAAGUGCCAUCGAUACUGGUUUUCUUGAGUGUGGAUGAAGUAGGCGGAAUUUGUGGUGUAGCGGUGAAAUGCAUAGAUAUCACGAGGAACUCCGAUUGCGCAGGCAGCUUACUAGGCCAUAACUGACGCUCAGGCACGAAGGCGUGGGGAUCAAAC